rnacentral:lncRNA from 1 species
GUGUGGUUAAGUCAUAGGUGGGAGUUAGGUGAGUCUCCUGUCGCUUGGUUGGUAGUGCUAGGGUUGGAGGGAGGGUGGUGCCUUUUGUUAGUUAAUGUACUUUUUGCGGUUGUGGCACCGUUGUUAUUUUAUCAUGUUGUAUGCUUGUGAUGUUUGAUAAGGUCUUGGUCCUUUUUCUUGAGCCGGGGGUUUAUCGGAAAUAGACUCUCUACUUCUUCGGAUGUAGUGGUAUGGACUGCGU